AUUCAUUUAUAGUUCAUGAGUGUGAUGAUAGGGUGUUCACACUGUUGUGUGACAUAUGCAUCCCUCAAACCUUGCUACAACCUCGGCACACUACCUGUUUGACA
ensembl:snoRNA